ACUGGGAAGGAUAGCUCUGACUUACCCACUGUCGCCCCAAACCCCUUUCAGGCAGAGCCAGGUCUGUGAGUGCCGAGGCUCCCAGGUGGAGGGCAGGAGGGCACUCAGCUUCGCAGACUGGGGAGAUGUGAGACUGGGACGCCCAUGUCAUCGACGCCCAUGUCCCCGCUUCCUGGAAUCAACGAAGCCAAAUUAUUCAUCAGAAGAUUACUUAGUAAACACAGAAUCAAACCAAACUACUGAGUCCACCUAGCUUCUCCUCCCUCAGGGUUUUCCAUCGGACAGCCUCUCACCUUGCCCCAUAGCAGGUUCUUUCCUACCCUCUAAGUGACAGCUGGGAUGUCAGCUCCUCAGAGGCCCUUCUGAGGCCCCUAUCAUUCUCUCCCAUCACUCUGUUUCCUUCUUUCUUGGUACCUCCCACAAUCUGUCAUUUUAUUUGUUUACUGUCUCUCUCUCCCACUAGACUCCACGAGGCCAGUGACCCUGACUGCUAAAGGUCAUAAACCAGCAGUCCAUGGGGCCACCACACACUUUUUUUGGUUUGGCUUGUGCAGUGUUUUUCCAAAAAUUCAAUUUAUUGGGAAUAUUUAAAAAUCAAGAGAUUUUAUAUAAAAAUCUGGAUUUCCAGGUUCUCUUGAAAAAGAUCUAGCACAAGGGGCUGGAUGUGAGUAGCAGCUGCAGCCUCUAGCUCCAACCUAACGCCCACCACACCCCAUGACAUCACACUUGGCUACGGUCUGCACUCCUUUAUCUUACCUGCCUGGCCCCUGGAGGCCUGUGGCGUCUAAAACCACUCUUUUCACCCCUGCAGCGGAGAGCGUUUCCAUUAAUAAAUGCAAAGAACAAGAAGGGUUGACUGAUUUGAAGGAAAUAUUCAUCUACGCUCCGAGAAGGCUCCACCACACACGAUUUCUCUCCGAGAGCCAGGAGGACGCCCUCCUGCAGCACUGAGCUCCUGCGCAAGCGCCGCGCCGCAUCUCCGCCCCCGAACCAAUUGGAAGAGGCGGCGCUUGGGCGCUCAGGGCACGACGCCGUGGGUGGGGCCGGGACGUGAGUGCAACGCGCUGGCGUCACAGGGGCGGCUAUAUAAGUGAAUACAGGCGCCGCCCCUCCGCCCCAGUCACUGAGCCGCCGCCGAGGACUCAGCAGCCUCCCCCUCGAGCCCCCUCGCUUCCCGACGCUCCGUCCCCCCCGCCCGCCUUCUCCCGCCGCCGCCUUCCGCAGGCCGUUUCCACCGAGGAAAAGGAAUCGUAUCGUAUGUCCGCUAUCCAGAACCUCCACUCUUUCGACCCCUUUGCUGAUGCAAGUAAGGGUGAUGAUCUACUUCCUGCUGGCACUGAGGAUUAUAUCCAUAUAAGAAUUCAACAGAGAAACGGCAGGAAGACUCUUACUACCGUCCAAGGGAUCGCUGAUGAUUACGAUAAAAAGAAACUAGUGAAGGCGUUUAAGAAGAAAUUUGCCUGCAAUGGUACUGUAAUUGAGCAUCCAGAAUAUGGAGAAGUAAUUCAACUACAGGGUGACCAGCGCAAGAACAUAUGCCAGUUCCUGGUAGAGAUUGGACUGGCUAAGGAGGACCAGCUGAAGGUUCAUGGGUUUUAAGUGCUUUUGGCUCAUUGAAGCUUAAGUGAGGAUUUCCUUGCAAUGAGUAGAAUUUCCCUUCUGUCCCUUGUCACAAGUUUAAAAACCUCACAGCUUGUAUAAUGUAACCAUUUGGGGUCUGCUUUUAACUUGGACUAGUGUAACUCCUUCAUGCAAUAAACUGAAAAGAGCCAUGCUGUCUAGUCUUGAAGUCCCUCAUUUAAACAGAGGUCAAGCAGUGGGCGCCUGGCAGUGUCCAGCCUGAAACAAAGCAAUAAUGUGAUGUUUCGGCCAAGCCCAGAGCCCCGAGAUCACAGAUGGCUAUGUCUGGCCAGAAGCUCCUCGGCUCUCCCUCUACAGAGUUCCCUGCCCUGAGAGAAUGUCACCACCUGAGCAGCCCUUGGUGAAGCUGAGAGGAGAGGAUGGGGUAAGGCAGCAACGGCAGCUGCACCACUAGGCGGGAGCCUUUGGUGGUCGAAGAGUGAUGCCCUGGUGUCUCCAGCCUGCCCGGGUGCACAGAGCUUAGAGUGGCCCCCUUCCCUCUAAUGAGGUGAUAGGACAUCUGGCUUGCCAGCGAGGUCUUUUUGACCAGACAUAUCCUAGCUAAUUGAUGUCCAAACACCAGAAUGUGAGGCCACCCUUCUAGCAGAGUUAAACUUUUGACAAGGGAACAAAUCUCAAACUGAUAUGUGUCAGUCACGUAGCCAGCUGUAGAACUUGCGGCUUGACUAGCAGCAGCUGCCCAAUGCCAUGUGAAGUAACAAACUGGUCUUUGGUUUUUUCCUUCCCUUCAGUUUUAAUGUUAUGUAAUGUAUUUAAACCCUUAUUUAAAUAAAACUUGGUUUUCAGAAACACCUGAUUUGCAGAUUCUAUUUUUUUGUAUAGCCGAUCUUGUAUGUGAAGAAACUGCAGAAAUGGGCAGUGGCUGUUAGGUCUACACCCGUAGCUUCUCAACUGGGGCCUGAAUCUCUUGGCCAAGAAAACCUAGUGAGCUUGUCCCUUCCAAGUGCCCCACGGGUCAGCUGAUUUGCGAGCAUUUAGCCAGGGGUACACGAUCCCAUUAAUCUGUCCUGAAAGACGGUGCUGCGUGGCUGAUGGAUGCUUGGCCAGUAGUCUGAGUGAUCAGUGGUUACUGGGCUGUCACUGCUCUCAGUGGUUGUCGAGGAACUUGUGAGGUGACAGAGCAGGUUGAUUGGAAAUCCCUGAGUUCCCUCAGUAAAGGGGCCAUGGCUUAAAGCUGUAACAAAAGGGCAAACGUGGUGUGGGAUUUGAUCUAAUCCACAAAGCCCUGGAAGAGAUGCACGAGCGUGUACUUCUAGGGAAUAGGUUUGCAGUAUUAAAAAGUUCAGUGACUAAAGUGUUGGAGAUGAAAUUGAACGUUGGGAGGCCACCCCUUCACAAAGGAUGAUGAGUAGUAAGUAUAUAGAGGUCUAUUCUUGGGGCCGUUGAUUCUGUUACAUAAUAGAAUUCUUCCAGCAUGUGGAUCACGAGAACUGGUACUAAUUUCAGGUACAGAAAUAAAGGCUUCAAACCGCUGAGAAUGGUCAUGAGGAAUCAGCCCUUUUCGUGUUUGUUGCCAGCCCCUGUCUUGUAGAUAAAGGCUAACCUGGAACCGGCUGAGGUGUGGGGGAGGGUGGGUGAAAGGCUGAGCCACCGGCAUGUGCUCUGGAAAUAGAAGAUGAUUCUAACCCCAGAGGUGGAAGCUUUAUUAAGAUAAGGUCCUACAAAACUGAUCUAGUAAAAGGAAGAAUUUACCACUUGACUCCAGACUGAUAGUCUUCAAACGUGUGGGUGAUACUUUGAAAUCAGUAAGAUUUGACUGUAGACAAGAGUGCUUUUCUUGAGGCACUUGUGGAAGCAACCCUGGAGGCUGUCCCCACAGAAAACCACAAGCAGAGGGUGGGAGGAAACAAUCACAGGCUGUAGGUUGAUGUGCAGGUCCUGUGCUGUGCUGUAGCUCAGCUUAACAUCUUUUGCUCCUUUUAAGGACCUCCAAUUCUCUAGAAGGAUUAUUCCAAGUUAAAGUAGCAACAUCAGUAUUAAAAUCAGCUGUCUGGAACCAAGCAAAACCAAUUACCUGUGAACUAGGAGGUUUGUCGACACUGUAGUGCAGUUGAUGUGACUUGGGUGUACCUCAGGGCUGAAAUUAAGCAUAGUUCUCUCCACUUGAUGAUUGAGAAAACAGAUGUGGGAGUUUGCAAGGCUGGUAAGUGGUGGAACCUCAUCUGGAACCCGGGACUCUCUGCUCUUCCGUCGGAUGACGACAUUCACAAUCUUAGUAGCUCAUUUGACAGAUUGGUUGGUACGCGCAGUGCAUCGUGGGGAAUCAGCGCACAAAGGCGAGUCAAGCAGACACCCUGUGCUUGGGAAGCUGACGGCCUGAGAGGGCUGUCAAGACCAGCACAGAGCCUUGACGCGAGGCAGAAAGGGGCAAUGCCACCACUGGUGUGGCCGAAGAGCCACAGGAUCUCUGAGGAUUGGGAAAUCUUCCCCACCCUCAUCUGUGCCAGGGAAGGCUUCAUAAGGGAGGUGCCACUGAAGUGGGGCAUUCCAGGUAACGUGGAACAGGAGUCAAGACCUAGAGGUGGAAGCACCCAGUGUGUAUGAGGAAUCUAAGCUAGGACCGUUUGGCUGGAACAAAGGGCCUGCAUAGAGCAGAAAAAUACAGUUCUGUCUCUCACUGUGUGCCAGGCGUGUGUCAAGGGCUUCAGGUGUACAUCGACUCAUUGAUUUAGCAGUAGAGCCUCAGUCCCAUGGUGACACUGAGACUCAGAGAGGUAACAUAACUUAGCAAGUAGGUGGAGAGAAGGGAGUAGAGGAAAGUGAGGGCUGGAAGGUUGGUGUGAGAUGAGAGCAGGCUAAGACCUUUAGAUGUUUCUGUACAAAAGCAUCUCUGACAAAUGUCUCGCGGCGCUCUGCUCCCUCGUUCCUCUCCCCGACCUCCAGUCUCUUCUGUCUAUGUCCUCGUUCCCCUCUCUGUCCAACAUUCACCCCUUCCUUCUUCUCCCGUUACCUCCCGUGUCUCCCCUCAGUCUGCCUGCCCCACCCCAGGCCUCAGCAGCCCUCCUGCCCCGGUGCCCACCCUCUGCAAUAGGGACAAGCAGGGACAAACCGAAAAUUCCUUAAAAUGGUGCUGUGAAGACAAAAUGUGAACUGGUCAGCUAAAACUGAGCAGCAAUCUACAAAAACUAAAGCCUAUUCUAAUUUUACCUAGAAAUAGGUCAGAGAAACAGUAUCUUCGGGAGCCACACAUUCCACUCGGUAGCUCGACUUGACCCCCGUCCUUGUUUACAAGCCGGAGUGGUGCCCUCUUGUGGCGUCAGUGUCGAAACACAGGUCUCUCUUCACAAGAGCGAAAUUAAGAGCUCCUUGACUAGUUUUUAACUUUUCAGGAGAUAGACAUUAUUUCAAAAUUAACACAAAAUCUGAGGCUUUGGUAAUUUCUUCUCUUGCGCUCUCUUAAAUCUUCCUAAUUCAAAUAUUCAUAAAAUGCACUGUUCUUGGGGAGCUUGUUAAAAAUUCCAGUUCUAGGCCCCACCCAGGACAGUCUGGCUCUCCUGGGUGUUAGCUGAACAAUGCCCAGGUCCCACCCACUUCCCAAGGGCCUUCAAAAAUGUCUACGAACUGAAAAGAAACGUAUCUUCUCCAAAAUUUGACCAAAAAUCUGCAAAAUCAGAAUGAAUAACGGGGACGCUUACAACAGGGAACAUUGGCAGUAGCUGCGGCACAAUUCUUACAUAACUAUAUGGAAACGUAAUAAGCGUUUUAGAGAAAGAACAAUAUUGACUAUUUUUUUUUAAAGAUUUUAUUAUUUCCUUUUUUCUCCCCAACACCCCCGGUACAUAGUUGUACACUCUUCGCUGUGGAUUCUUCUAGUUGUGGCAUGUGGGACGCCGCCUCAGCGUGGUUUGAUGAGCAGUGCCAUGUUCGCGCCCAGGAUUCGAACCAACGAAACACUGGGCCGCCUGCAGCGGAGCGCGCAAACUUAACCACUUGGCCACGGGGCUAGCC
rnacentral:lncRNA from 1 species